AGGCUCUUGCUUAUCCGGUAGUGAUUAUCUUCAUGUAAGCUAAAAACAUUAUCAGUACCCAGACCUUCAAGAGACAUGAUCAUACUGCCUACAUGUGAAAGAAUUAACAUAUCCAAGCUUACUUCUGGCUGUGUCACUGACCCAACAGAGGCCAGGAGGUCCAGCAUAGCGAGCAUGGCCCCAGGAUGGAUGAUGACUGCAUCAGAACUCUGAAGAGAGGAAGUCGUCACAUGGAGUUUCAAGUCUGAGAAGCAGCCAAGAAAUCGAACGGCAUCUGCCAACUUCUCAUACUGAAUCUCUGUUUUGAAGAAGUGAGAGUUGGCUGGCUCGUAGCGCAUUGCUGCAGUCAGUGUGCAGAACACAGUGUGGAGGAGCUCAAACACUUGGUUCUGGUUCACUUUCUCCCAGCCAUUCUUAGGGGGAGAACUCAGAGAUCUUUCCAUGGCAACCAGCAAGGAUGUAAUGUACACAAAUCCUCCAACUUUCCUAAAAACUGUUCUUGAACGAUGGCUUUCUCGAAGGACUGAUAGGAGGGCCUACAGGGGAAAAAAGACAAAACAAACAAAAAUAAACAUAAUUUGAAUUUUUUUAUAAAAGGAAAACUGUCAAGCAUUGAUAUCAAGGAGUAUGUAUCCUAUGAACAUCUGAUAUGAAUGUUUUUGAUAUGUACCAAAUAAGCAGCUCUAUAAAGCAUA